rnacentral:tRNA from 1 species
GAGAUGUUAGUAAAACAAUUACACCUCCUUGUCAAGGCGAAGUUGCUGGUUAAACCCCGGCACAUCUCA